UACGAGAGGCCCAAACGUUAUUCGGAUUUACUGGGCUUAAAGAGUUCGUAGGCGGUCCGUCAAGUGAGGUGUGAAAGCCCUCGGCUCAACCGAGGAAUUGCGCUUCAAACUGUCGGGCUCGAGGGAGAUAGAGGUGAGCGGAACUGAUGGUGGAGCGGUGAAAUGCGUUGAUAUCAUCAGGAACACCAGAGGCGAAGGCGGCUCACUGGGUCUUAUCUGACGCUGAGGCACGAAAGCUAGGGGAGCGAACGGG
rnacentral:rRNA from 1 species